AACGAACGCUGGCGGCAGGCUUAACACAUGCAAGUCGAACGGUUGUAGCAAUACAGCAGUGGCAGACGGGUGAGUAACACGUGGGAACCUUCCUAGGGGUGCGGAACAACUCAGGGAAACUUGAGCUAAUACCGUAUACGUCCGUGAGGAGAAAGAUUUAUCGCCCUUAGACGGGCCCGCGUCGGAUUCGCUAGUUGGUGGGGUAACGGCCUACCAACGCGACGAUCCGUAGCUGAUCUUAGAGUAUGAUCAGCCACACUGGGAGUGAGACACGGCCCGGACUCCUCCGGGAGGCAGCAGUGGGGAAUCUUGGACAAUGGGCGCAAGCCUGAGCCAGCCAUGCCGCGUGAGUGAAGAAGGUCUUCGGAUUGUAAAGCUCUUUUGCCAGGGACGUUAAUGACGGUACCUGGAGAAUAAGCCCCGGCAAACUUCGUGCCAGCCGCCGCGGUAA
rnacentral:rRNA from 1 species